rnacentral:rRNA from 1 species
GGGGCUUAAAGUCUUGUAAUUGGAAUGAUGGGAAUUUAAACCUCUUCCAGAGUAUCAAUUGGAGGGCAAGUCUGGUGCCAGCAGCCGCGGUAAUUCCAGCUCCAAUAGCGUAUAUUAAAAUUGUUGCAGUUAAAAAGCUCGUAGUUGAAUUUCUGCUGCAUUGCUUGUGUCCCUCUGGGGUCUGUGCAUGUGGCUUUUUUCGGACGGAGUUUCUUUGUCUGAAUGUUUACUUUGAGAAAAUUAGAGUGCUCAAAGCAGGCUUUCGCCUUGAAUAGUUUAGCAUGGAAUAAUAAAGUAGGACUUUGGUUCUAUUUUGUUGGUUUUAGGUACCAAAGUAAUGGUUAAUAGGAACAGUUGGGGGCAUUCGUAUUUAACUGUCAGAGGUGAAAUUCUUAGA